rnacentral:rRNA from 1 species
GACGAACGCUGGCGGCGUGCUUAACACAUGCAAGUCGAGCGGUAAGGCCUUUCGGGGUACACGAGCGGCGAACGGGUGAGUAACACGUGGGUGAUCUGCCCUGCACUUCGGGAUAAGCCUGGGAAACUGGGUCUGAUACCGGAUAUGACCUCCUAUCGCAUGGUGGGUGGUGGAAAGAUUUAUCGGUGCAGGAUGGGCCCGCGGCCUAUCAGCUUGUUGGUGGGGUAAUGGCCUACCAAGGCGACGACGGGUAGCCGACCUGAGAGGGUGACCGGCCACACUGGGACUGAGACACGGCCCAGACUCCUACGGGAGGCAGCAGUGGGGAAUAUUGCACAAUGGGCGAAAGCCUGAUGCAGCGACGCCGCGUGAGGGAUGACGGCCUUCGGGUUGUAAACCUCUUUCAGCAGGGACGAAGCGCAAGUGACGGUACCUGCAGAAGAAGCACCGGCUAACUACGUG